rnacentral:lncRNA from 1 species
AUUUCACAUUGGAUUAGACUGCCCAGGAGGGCAACGCUGGGCUGGGGCAGCCGGGCAACUCUGCCAGGGCCUCGCUGCCCACUGAGCUGCCUUCCACAGCUCGCUAGACCCCCAUGAUUGUGGCUGUGAAUUGUGCCAGCCACCCUGAUAAACACACCACUGCCUCCACCCCAUGACACACGGAAUUUGGGGGGAGGGAAGGAAGAACUCAGGUAUGCUCAAAUUAUCAACAAGAAAACCCGGAAAAUUUACAUUGUUGAUGAGCACUGUGAUGGAUAAGUUUCCAGGAAGAAAAACUUGGUUUUCGCCUGUGGGCCACAGCCAUGCCUGAGAUCCGCCUAAUGGGAAUGGAGCCGGCAAUUUCCUGCUGCCUUGCUUUCUCCGCCAGCCCCUGGCCCACAGUCCAGCCUCAGAAGGCUGAGGGGGGUGCUUCGGUUUCGUUUCUUUUUUCUCAACGGGUCGACAUUUUAAAUUUCUCAGUAUCCAAGGCAUUAUGAGGACUUAGGAAACAGAUGCAUUUAAUCUAAUUAAAGCAAGGACGGCGAGUGAGUGAAAAAUUACAUUUUCACUUGGGUUCUGAACAUUCAGUUGCACAUCCAAGAAUAAUGAUGUUUUUAAAGCCAGCCCAAUAAACUUGAGAUUGCAAGUUU